rnacentral:rRNA from 1 species
ACGGAAGGCAGCAGUGAGGAAUAUUGGUCAAUGGGCGCAAGCCUGAACCAGCCAUGCCGCGUGAAGGAUUAAGGCCCUAUGGGUCGUAAACUUCUUUUGUAUGAGAGCAAUAAGUCCUACGUGUAGGGCGAUGAGAGUAUCAUACGAAUAAGCAUCGGCUAACUCCGUGCCAGCAGCCGCGGUAAUACGGAGGAUGCGAGCGUUAUCCGGAUUUAUUGGGUUUAAAGGGUGCGUAGGCGGCUUGGUAAGUCAGCGGUGAAAGGUCGGGGCUCAACUCCGGAACUGCCGUUGAUACUGUCAGGCUGGAAUGCGGAUGCCGUGGGAGGAAUGUGUGGUGUAGCGGUGAAAUGCAUAGAUAUCACACAGAACACCGAUUGCGAAGGCAUCUCACGAAUCCGCUAUUGACGCUGAGGCACGAAAGUGUGGGGAUCAAACAGGAUUAGAUACCCUGGUA